AUUAUUUUGGCAGAGUAAGUGCAUUAAAUUUAGAAUUUAAUAAUAUAUAAUUUUAUUAUAUAAAUAAUA
rnacentral:tRNA from 1 species